AUGUUCGAUUCAGGGUCCCAAAAGCCGGCCGAAACAACUAUAAAAUUUGUAUCACUGUGGUACACGUUCGGUGGAGGAACCAGACUGGAUGUUGGAAGUGAUGCCCGUCCCACCCUGAUGGUGCUGCCCCCCUCCACUGAGCAGCUGCAGCAGGGGAAGGCCACGCUCAUGUGCCUGGCCAACAAGGGCUUCCCCUCAGACUGGAGUCUGGCCUGGAAGGUGGACGGCAGCAGCAGCAGCAGCAGCAGCAGCAGCAGCAGCUGGGAGCAGAGCAGCAGCCCCGGGGUGCUGGAGAAGGACGGCCACUACAGCUGGAGCAGCACCCUGAGGCUCUCUGCAGACCAGUGGAGGAAGGUGGGCUCUGUGACCUGUGAGGCCACCCAGGGCUCCCAGACUCCGCUCUCAGAGACUCUGAGGAGAGACCAGUGUCCCCAGUCCUGAUCUGACUCACUGGUUUUACUCUGCUACUGCUCUCAGUCUGCACUCUUUCUCUGUUUCUCUCAUGAUUUUUCAACAUUAACUUGUUCUUGCUUGUGUUGUUAGUUUUAACAUUUUCAAACAAUAAAGAAUUCCAUCGUAGAAUAUAAAAGUGAUGGGUCUUUUGAAUUCCUUUCUUUUACAUGUCUUAUAUAUUAGGAGCAUGAAUCAGGUUAAAGUGCCAAGGUUUUAAGACUGUAGACAUGGUGCAGCUAUUUAAAUGAAUAUAAAUCACAAAACUAUCAAAUUUAACUCAUUUAUGCUCUUGAAGGUCCAUUUGUUAAGUGAAUAUGUCAUUAAAAUUGCAUUUUUACCCCAAAUCAUCGAUCAUUAAUUUUUAAUCCUAUAUUCCCAAUAUGAAUGGUGCCCUGUUGAGAGUUAUCCAUACACGUAUCUUGGGACAUCCUAAAAUCCCUACCUAUUGGUGCCCCGUGUGAGGCAUUGUACAGUCGGCAAUUGUUCCGCACUUUCUAACUCUCUCUUUGUUCUUGCUUGUGUUGAUGCUUUCAAUAUUUUAAAGCAAUAAAGAUUUGAU